ACGCCCUUUGGAGUGCUAAGAAUUCCUGAGAAUUGGGACUGAGUCUAAUUCAAAUCGUUUUGUGGUCUUAAAUGAGUGACUUACACCUCCUGAAUCUCAGUGUUUUUAUUUGUCACAUGAACAAAUGAAUCACUUUUAAGAAUCCUUAAAGCUUCCCCAGAGUCCAUGCAUUUAUAAAUUCUAUCAAUGCUGGUGUUAAAUAUGCUGCUACUCUCCCCCGUUACUCUGUGGGAAUAUAAUUCUACAAAUCGUUGGCCUUAGACAAAUUGUUUAACCUCUCUCCGUGCCUUCGUCUGAAUCAUUAACUGUAAAAUAGGGUUGUUAGAAAUAAUACCUUCCCUUUUUUUUUCCUACAGGUGACUGUAUGUAUCCAUAUGGAACUUGGGAAAGAAAGCAUUCCAAGCAAGGUGUUGCUCUUCCUUUAACACUUCAUUGCAUCAGGCCAUUUUCUCCACCUCUCCAAUAUCGACGCUCAGUGCUUAUCUUCCUGAGCUCUUUUCUUCAAAUUUCUUGACAUUCCUCAGGGCCCAGCGUCUCUCUUGACUCUUUUGCAGAAUAAUGUCUUCUUGGUCAUCCAUGUGUUGGGCUGGUCAGAUCAGAAACAGUCCAGUUUCUUCAACAAUAUUUGCCUUGAGAUGGAAUUUCUAAAAAUGCUCUUUCACCCAAGGGGUCCAGUUUAGCUGGAUGUACCCUGAAUCCUUUAUGAAAUAAGGUAGAGAGUUAGGCAACACCAGUGGCCCCAACUGCUGCGCCAGGCACUUGUAGGGGAAGUAUCUUCAGCACAAACCCUGCUUGUAAGGAGCUGGCAGGCCAGCAGAAUGGUGAGACCCAUUAGGACAGAGAAGCCUUGCCGCAAGAGAGAAAGAAGUCUCCAUACGCAGACAGAGUAGAAGAAACAAGGAGGAUCUAAAAUAAGAUGACUCGAUUUCUAGCUGGAGGGAAGUGGGGGUUUCUUCUAGCUCUAGUCUUUGUUGCAAGAUCUUCUGGGACUGAAGCUCUGAUCACCUUACUGUUCUGGUGGGAAACCAUCAAUGGCUUCCUGUUACCUGCAGAAUGAAGUAGAGAUGCCUUGAUGUUGCAUUCAAGCACCCUCAGAAGUGACCCUAUGAUGCCUUUCUAGGAAGACCUCACAGCCUCUCCCUCCUUCAGUUUCGACUUCAACUUGAUGGCCUCAUCAUCUCUUUUCUGAACAUUGGUUUUUCCCUUCCUGUCCUCUUCCCAGAAACUAGCAGUGGGGUGGCCCCUGAGGAUGAGACCCCUUGCCCCACUGUGUCAUGUUAGCAGAAGAAGUGAUGUGAUGCUGGGUCCACAUAGCCCCCCUCAGGAGAAUCAGAGGUUAAAGAUGAAGAUGG